GGCGCUUUGGCCGAGCGGUUAAGGCGACACUUUGCUAAGGUGUUAUCAUUUGAUGCGUGAGUUCGAACCUCACAGGCGUCG
rnacentral:tRNA from 1 species